rnacentral:rRNA from 1 species
UACGUAGGGCGCAAGCGUUGUCCGGAAUUAUUGGGCGUAAAGAGCUCGUAGGCGGUUCUGUCGCGUCGGCUGUGAAAACCCGAGGCUCAACCUCGGGCCUGCAGUCGAUACGGGCAGACUAGAGUGCUGUAGGGGAGACUGGAAUUCCUGGUGUAGCGGUGAAAUGCGCAGAUAGUCAGGAGGAACACCGGUGGCGAAGGCGGGUCUCUGGGCAGUAACUGACGCUGGAGGAGCGAAAGCCGUGGGGAGCAAACAGG